CCUACGGGAGGCUGCAGUAGGGAAUCUUUCACAAUGGGCGAAAGCCUGAUGGAGCAACGCCGCGUGCAGGAUGAAGGCCUUCGGGUUGUAAACUUCUUUUAUAAGCGAGAAAUAUGAUGGUAACUUAUGAAUAAGGAUCGGCUAACUACGUGCCAGCAGCCGCGGUCAUACGUAGGAUCCGAGCAUUAUCCGGAGUGACUGGGUGUAAAGAGUUGCGUAGGUGGCAUAAUAAGUAGCUAGUGAAAUCUGGUGGCUCAACCAUUCAGACUAUUAGCUAAACUGUUAAGCUCGAGACCGUUAGGGGUAAGUGGAAUUUCUGGUGUAGGAGUGAAAUCCGUAGAUAUUAGAAGGAACACCAAUAGCGUAGGCAGGUUGCUGGGACGGUUCUGACACUAAGGCACGAAAGCGUAGGGAGCAAACGGGAUUAGAUACCCUUGUAGUC
rnacentral:rRNA from 1 species